rnacentral:rRNA from 1 species
UACGUAGGUGGCAAGCGUUGUCCGGAAUUAUUGGGCGUAAAGCGCGCGCAGGCGGUCCUUUAAGUCUGAUGUGAAAGCCCACGGCUCAACCGUGGAGGGUCAUUGGAAACUGGGGGACUUGAGUGCAGAAGAGGAAAGCGGAAUUCCACGUGUAGCGGUGAAAUGCGUAGAGAUGUGGAGGAACACCAGUGGCGAAGGCGGCUCACUGGACCGGUACUGACGCUGAUGCGCGAAAGCGUGGGGAGCAAACGGG